UUUAAAGGAGCCCUGAUUUGUCACAGAAGCAGGUGAAGAAACAAGGCAUGAACAGAGAUAGUCAGGACAGUAGAUUACAACAAUACAGAAAGGAAAACAAAAGAGAAGUUAUCGUUUUUUUUCUUUUGACGAUUGAACCCAUUUUAAAUUUCAGAACUAAUGCAAAUUCUAGCCGAGAAUGACUGAAUGAGAGAAAGGAUAUAUGUCAGGAUAGGAUACAUCACUGGAUGCAUAGAAUUGUAGUAUUCCAGACAUUCUCUUACAAUCUGUUUGUCCACCUUAUCUCUGUUAAUGUACAGUCUGGCAUGCAUUGGAUGAGACAUUAACCUUACCGGCGAUGUGGGCCCCACCCCUCCGAGAGGCCGCCCAAGCCGACGCUGACCCGACGCGUGCGCAUGUGGAUCCGCUCCGUCCAUGAUCGCCGGGAGAGAAAAACAAGGAGAAGAGGCUCUUGAGGGAGUGCCUGGAACACUACAACGCUUUGCAUCCGGGCUCUGAAUUCCAACUUGCUGCUGGAAAGGUGAUCAGACAUGAGGGUUGUGCAGAGCACGAUCAUAUUAGCAUCGGGGAUCAUGGCAAUUUUCUGGCUCGUCGGAAGCGCACAGGCUGCUUCUCGUUCCUACCUGGUGGUCCAAGGACCCUCUUCUUUUAUGAACUCGAUCAUUUUGAUGGUGUUGUGACAUGCAUCCCCUUAGACGAUGAACCAGUUGAUGAAGGUUACAGUUUCCUAUGUUUUUGUCUUGGGUGGGACAAAAGACGCAGCGGCAUAUUUGAUUGCGUUUGCAAGACUUGCGGCCACCAUGUGCCCGUUCCAUAUCCUUUCCCAAAGAAAAAGACAUAUGCGUGUGGCCAUGGAAUCGGAGAGGUGAGGCCCCUGUGCAGGAUUUGCUACUCUCUUUCUCCCUUUGUUCAUCCCAGUCCAGGAAAAUUCAAGGUCUGGCAUCAGAGGGACUGUAAGAUCCAGCGCUUUGGUCCAUCUAUGUCAUAUGGUGAUCCGUAUCUCUAUGGGCCUUGGGAGCGAGUGACGGCGUGGCGAUGAGCCCGGCCACCGCUCGUCGGCUAACCGACUGCACUGGGCCGUCAUCCCUCAUGCUGUGUGAUACAUGAAGCCAAUGCGCUGCGCUUGUUACAAUCUGAUGAAGUGUCUUGUAAGGCAAACAGAUUCAAACUAUUUUCUUCAAACUUCCAACUUUUCCGUCACAUCGAACUUUUCUACACACACAAACUUUUAACUUUUUCGUCACAUCGUUUCAAUUUCUUCAAACUUUCAAUUUUGGCAUGAAACUAAACACAGCCUAAGUGAGAAAAUAUGCUGUGCAAACCGUUGGAUUCAUACCUAAGAUUUGACCACGUCACCAAUAGUAAAAUUACUCACGGUUAAACCCGAAAGUAAAACUUCUAUUGUAAGUGAUGUGGUUAGAUCUUGGGCUUCAUUUUUAUCCAACGGUAGUUUUUAGGUUUCUACUACAUAUAUUAUUUGCACUAUAUAUUUUUCUAAUAUUGUAUCUUGACAUAGUAAUAUGCAAAUCCUAUAUGUUGUGUCGUGUAAACCUAAAAAACUACCAUUGAAUGAAAAAUAGACGAAUGAAAUCUAUUCAAUUCAUCCUAAGUAAAGCUUUUACUCUUAAACGAGAACUAGUAAUAUUGUUCUGUAAGAUUUAAGAUCCUGUGCGAGUGCCAUAUAAGAUUUGACAUAUGGAUAUGAGGGUUUGUGGUGCUCCCACGUCAGUCAAUAAAUCAAAUGUAUAAUAAAAG